AGCAGCUGAGUUUGGGCAGAAGUCAUAUGGAAAGGGCCCAGGGAGAGGCAAUGGGAACCAGCAGUAGAAAUAUCAGAAAGUGCCAGCAAAAAUAUAUUUUCUGGGAAAUGAGAGGUGUAUCAUAAAAUGCAAACGCUAUGUCUCUGAAAAACUGGAACAGAAGCAGAAGGAAGAAGGCAAAAGAGAUACAUAGAUAUGGAUGAAGAAAGGAGACACAGGGAGUUUCCAGAAACACAGUAGCAGCAGACCUGAGGGUCAGCAAAACUUAAGUGCUUGAAGAUGAUCAAAUCACUAUAAAAAUGUUAAAAGUCCUGUUCCUUCUUUGUAGGAACUUGGGAGCAGAGAACUAUUGGACAAAGAUCUUCUGGACCUAAAUUCCUUCAGAGUCUCAGAGGAAAUUCAACCUUCCUGGCCACAGGAGUGGGCAUAUGAUCACAAGUGGGCUAGUAGUUGUAACCCACCACCUGAUCCAGAGUUGGGCUCAUCCUCAGGCCAAGCAGGAUCCUUGCAAUUAACUGAAGUUGGAUGGGGAAAGCUUGCUUUCUUUUCCAGAAACAAAUCUGUAAGUAUACAAGUCCAGAGCUCCCUGUGGCUGUAGUAGUAUGCUUAUAAGAAUAAGUAGCUUGGGAGAACAAAGUUAAUACACAGAGAGAAACAGAGAGGAAAUAGUAAGACGGAAGGAGAGAAAGGAAGAGCAAAAGGGAGAACAGAGAAGAGAGAAAGGACAGGGAGAAUAUCAGUCAAGUUCCCGCCUGCAGCCCCCUGAGGUCAGGCCAGCCUGGCCUUCUGUUGCUAAAGUGAGCCAAGAAAACCCUGACCAGUCAGUCUUAUAUAGUUGAAUAUUUGGAGUACAGAGUGACUUGUUUAUCAUAUUAAUAAUAUUUUCUUGUUUAACUUAGUACCUGACACAUAGUAAGAAAUUAUUAAAG
rnacentral:lncRNA from 1 species